UACGUAGGGUGCAAGCGUUGUCCGGAAUUAUUGGGCGUAAAGAGCUCGUAGGCGGUUUGUCGCGUCUGCUGUGAAAACCCGAGGCUCAACCUCGGGCCUGCAGUGGGUACGGGCAGACUAGAGUGCGGUAGGGGAGAUUGGAAUUCCUGGUGUAGCGGUGGAAUGCGCAGAUAUCAGGAGGAACACCAAUGGCGAAGGCAGAUCUCUGGGCCUUAACUGACGCUGAGGAGCGAAAGCAUGGGGAGCGAACAGG
rnacentral:rRNA from 1 species